rnacentral:rRNA from 1 species
GAUGAACGCUGGCGGCGUGCUUAACACAUGCAAGUCGAACGAAGUGGAUGUCUUCGGACUGAAACUUAGUGGCGGACGGGUGAGUAACGCGUGGGUAACCUGCCUCGUACAGGGGGAUAACAGUUAGAAAUGACUGCUAAUACCACAUAACCCGCUAAGGUCGCAUGACCUGGACGGAAAAGAUUUAUCGGUACGAGAUGGACCCGCGUCUGAUUAGCUAGUUGGUGAGGUAACGGCCCACCAAGGCGACGAUCAGUAGCCGACCUGAGAGGGUGAUCGGCCACAUUGGGACUGAGACACGGCCCAAACUCCUACGGGAGGCAGCAGUGGGGAAUAUUGCACAAUGGGGGAAACCCUGAUGCAGCAACGCCGCGUGAGUGAUGAAGUAUUUCGGUAUGUAAAGCUCUAUCAGCAGGGAAGAAAUUGACAGUACCUGACUAGAAGCCCCGGNUAACUACGUGCCAGCCAG